UGGAUCCAGACUUUGAUUAUGGCUCAGGAUGAACGCUAGCUACAGGCUUAACACAUGCAAGUCGAGGGGAAACGACAUCGAAAGCUUGCUUUUGAUGGGCGUCGACCGGCGCACGGGUGAGUAACGCGUAUCCAACCUGCCCAUCACUUGGGAAUAACCUUGCGAAAGUAAGACUAAUGCCCAAUGAUAUCCCACGAAGACAUCUGAAUGGGAUUAAAGAUUUAUCGGUGAUGGAUGGGGAUGCGUCUGAUUAGCUUGUUGGCGGGGUAACGGCCCACCAAGGCAACGAUCAGUAGGGGUUCUGAGAGGAAGGUCCCCCACAUUGGAACUGAGACACGGUCCAAACUCCUACGGGAGGCAGCAGUGAGGAAUAUUGGUCAAUGGGCGAGAGCCUGAACCAGCCAAGUAGCGUGCAGGAAGACGGCCCUAUGGGUUGUAAACUGCUUUUAUAAGGGAAUAAAGUGGGUCACGUGUGACUUUUUGCAUGUACCUUAUGAAUAAGGACCGGCUAAUUCCGUGCCAGCAGCCGCGGUAAUACGGAAGGUCCGGGCGUUAUCCGGAUUUAUUGGGUUUAAAGGGAGCGUAGGCCGGAGAUUAAGCGUGUUGUGAAAUGUAGUGGCUCAACCUCUGCACUGCAGCGCGAACUGGUCUUCUUGAGUACGCACAACGUGGGCGGAAUUCGUGGUGUAGCGGUGAAAUGCUUAGAUAUCACGAAGAACUCCGAUUGCGAAGGCAGCUCACGGGAGCGCAACUGACGCUGAAGCUCGAAAGUGCGGGUAUCGAACAGGAUUAGAUACCCUGGUAGUCCGCACGGUAAACGAUGGAUGCCCGCUGUUGGCCUGAAUAGGUCAGCGGCCAAGCGAAAGCAUUAAGCAUCCCACCUGGGGAGUACGCCGGCAACGGUGCAACUCAAAUGAAUUGACGGA
rnacentral:rRNA from 1 species